rnacentral:rRNA from 1 species
AUUGAACGCUGGCGGUAGGCCUAACACAUGCAAGUCGAGCGGAUGAAGGGAGCUUGCUCCUGGAUUCAGCGGCGGACGGGGGUGUAAUGGCUAGGAAUCUGCCUGGUAGUGGGGGAUAACGUCCGGAAACGGGCGCUCAUACUGCAUACGUCCUGAGGGAGAAAGUGUGGAAUCUUCGGAUCUCACGCUAUUAGAUGAGCCUAGGUCGGAUUAGCUAUUUGGUGGGGUAAAGGCCUACCAACGCUACGAUCCGUAACUGGUCUGUGAGGAUGAUCAGUCACACUGGAACUGAGACACGGUACAGAUUCCUACGGGCGGCAGCAGUGGGGAGUAUUGGACAAUGGGCGAAAACCUGAUCCAGCCAAGCCAAGUGAGUGAAGAAGGUCUUCGGAUUGUAAAGCCCUUUAAGUUGGGAUGAAGAGCAGUAAGUUAAUCCCUCGCUGUUUUGACGAUACCAACAGAAUAGGCACCGGCUAACUUCGUG